CUGCACGCGCGCUACACUGUAGGAAUCAGCGUGUGUACCCUGUCCGAGAGGACUGGGAAACCCGUUGAACCUCCUACGUGAUGGGGAUUGGGGAUUGAAAUUAUUCCCCAUGAACGAGGAAUUCCCAGUAGGCGCGAGUCAUAAGCUUGCGUCGAUUACGU
rnacentral:rRNA from 1 species